rnacentral:lncRNA from 1 species
GCUUUCUUUACGUUUGCCUCUUUGCUUUCAUUCACUGUGGCUUUUUAUUUCGACUCCUCCACUGAGCAUCAACUUCUACUCCACUGUCUCAAAUAAAUACUACUAUAUCUACCAACUAAUUACAUUUCAAUCUCUACAACGUCAGGUAGUUUGGGAUUUUUCAAAUUAAUUUUGAUUUGGGGAAAGGAUUUAAAAAAAUGUUUCUACUGCAAUUAUUUAAUGAUUCAACAUUCGUAGAAACUUAAACUUCAGAGUAGCAAAUCACCUCAACAUAGAAUUAAUUAAGCUUCAUGUUACCCUGGUGAAGUAGGGAGAAUAAGUAUGCAGUGAGGCUGCAAUCAUUUCCUCUGAAGCUCGAUUAAAAGCCAAGUUUUAAAACGUUAGAGCAGUGCUAAUCUGCAUGAAUGCUUUGGGUUUCAUUUAAGAAAGAAUUGUGGUUGCAAACAUUAAUACUAAAAUAUGUGAAUCUAUUUCCAUAAUCAGAGCCCUAUGGGAUGGAGCAUACAUUUAACAUGGCUUUGGUGCUUACGUGUUUCCAGUACGUUGAUUAAUACCGUCCUCUCAUGUGGAACUCAAUCAGGGGCAGCCUGCCAGAGGACUAUUUUCUAUAAAUUUCAGCUGAACUAAUAUCUGUGGAAAUCUUAAGACUAAAGAAGAGUUGAUGAAUAUACUACAAUUAAAGUUGCCUUGUGAAUUGAAGAAUGAAGUAAAGGAUAAUGAACAUAUUGAAAUGAUUCCACAUGUUUUAUGCAUGACACAUUUGUAAUUAAAACAGAUCCUGAAGGAGUCCUGAGUUGGAGAAUUACAAGUACCUGCUUGCUUGGCAUGUGGUUACAGAGGCUCUGCAUAGACACCUCCAGUUUUCAUAAAGACUGUGUUUACGUCUUGCAUUGAAUCCAGGUUUUUGCUACACAACUAUAAAGAAAUAGAAUCACGAUUGCAUGGACCAGCCACCAUUAUGCUUUAUGUGUAAAAUGCGUAAAAGUAUUAUCCUGUUUUUUCCCUGAAGCUAUGAUUUCUUACAUAUGCCUAACUAAACUCUAAAACUAGAAGGAAACUGAGAGAUUUGCCAGUCUUUCUUAUUUUUUGAAGGGAAAAGAUGAGCCACCAAGAAAUGCAGUGAUUUAAGACCACAGAGGCUGAGAUAGAAUCAGUGAUCAGAGUUCUUGAUGCUCAGUUAAAUGUCAUUUUGUUUUCAAUUUUUAAAUUUAUUUUUUGCAUAUGAAAUAUACUCACA